rnacentral:lncRNA from 1 species
AUAUAUAUAUAUAUAUAUAUAUAGAGAGAGAGAGAGAGAGAGAGAGAGAGAGAGAGAGAGAGAGAGAGAGGGACUAGUAUACUAUCGGGCUCCGUGCUACCAAGUUGUUUUUAAUGAUGCGGUUUCCAAAUCAACAAUCAACUCUGUUAGACUUGAUCUACACUAUUGAUAGUAUUUGAAAAAUAAAUUUCAUAAUUUUCCGACGUUAUUUGGCUUCUGAUAAAAAUGUUUUAAAAUUGACAAUUUUAAAGGUCAAUGCAAUGCAUUUCUGAAUUUAACGGUGUAAAACAAUCUAAAUCUAAUAAAAAUUUUAUAUAAAAUUCUCUUCACUGUUUAGAGAAAGAUUAGUACAUUUGAUCUUAAAUUCAAGUCUUUUAUUAUUAUUUUUAUGAAAUUUUUAUUUUCAAUCAUUUAUUUUUAGACUUCUCGUUUAAUAGAUAAAUGAUGUCGAAAAAUUAUAAAAUCUGGUUUCCAAAUACUUUGAAUAGUGUAAAUUAAGUCUAACGAAGCCAAUUGUCGAUUUGGAAGCUAAUCAUCGAAAAUAACUUGAUAGCAUAGAGACCUCCGUGCUACCAAUAGUAUAACGUACAGCCGGACUCACACAAACACUCUCUCUCUUUAUAUAUAUAGAGAGAGAGUAGGACUACUAUACUCUUAUAAGUAUAGAACCCUUCGUACUUAUAAGUUAUAUAUUCUUUAAAAUUUGAGAGUUGAAUAAAUUCUCUAAUUUUGAAGGAUUAUUCGAUUGUACAACCUCCACGCCGUGUAAAACGAGAGCAACCUAUAAUUUAACCGCAUGUUUUUCGUAGUUUAACUUUGCUCAC